AUUUUCUUAUAGAUGAAAACGGUUUUCUAUCCCUCGUGGUAGUGUGUUUUUAAAGGAAAAGGUUUCCGUAUGGCAAAUGGUUUUAAAAUGGGUUUUCCGAUUUUCAUGAUUCUUAGUAUUUCAAAAUAAGUUUCCGAGUGAAAAAUAUUUUAAAUUAAUAGAUAUGGAUUUAUGAUAAACUGGUGAUGGAAUGAAUGUGAAUGGUAUAUGUGAUGUGGUGAUUGUAUGUGGAUGAUUAUACUAUAUGGUUGUAUCUUGUACUUGUGCAAUGCCGUGCAAA
rnacentral:lncRNA from 1 species